UUAGCAAGUGAGGGAGGGCUCCUGUGUCUUGUGGAGUCACUAAAUUAGGAAUCAUUUCUCCAGUGUUCACAACUGCAGCAUCCAGGAGUCUGCUGUCUGACUGCGCCAUGUGCUACAAUGCUACAGGGGCGGCUGCGGGGCGUUCAACCAGAGGGGAGCAGUUCACAGGGCCGGUUUGCUCCGCAGCAUCUCGGCAGGUGGAUGGUCCCUUUGCAGAGCUCUGCUGGGAGAAACAGCCCCCAGAAGCUCUGACUUCAAUCAGUGAAUGCUGUGCUGAACCUCACUUCAACCUCAACAUUAAACAGAAGCGUUUUGUGAGUCUGUAAAGCAGUGCCUGAACUGCAGCCUGUUUCUCAGGCCAGUUCAGUCUUGUGGUCUCGGUUCCUUUGGGCUCUCAGUGACCGUGCAGCAGCCAGCGCCUUCUGCAGCUCCCUUCCACCCUGGGCAUGUUUGCACAGCAAAGCCGAUACAAGCUGGCGGCACCACAGUGCUCAUUAAUUUUUGGUUGCAUUUCUAAUAAUGGUGCUCAGUAAUUAGCGUUACCGUGUGAUCUAUUCCAGUUUCAUCAAACAAUGCUGAAUCCGCCUGUAUAAUGAAAAUAGGCUCCGUUCUGGAUUUUUGCAGCUCGACUACUACAUAAAAAUCUGCUUUUAUUAACAGUAAUAUUUAACAGCAAAAGCAAGAGGUGUUGAUGGAACCAGGCACAGCCCUUAAUACUUCCCGCAGCAAUGGCCCAGCCAAAGCACCUCCCUGAUAAACUCUGACGUGAGGGAAUGUAUUACGCACCGCACAAUUACUAUUUAUAGAGAAAAGAACUAAUGGGAAUAAAACAAGAAUAUUAUGCUGUGUUUCUUCUUCUGCCCCAAAUGCUUCAUUUGUUUCGUACUCCUGAGUCUUGGAAGAUGUGGCUCAGUGCAAAUACCGAACAGUAAUUCAAGCCAGUGUAAACCACACUGAAACAGGAGGUGCCCCAGCUUUGCCCAUCAGUAAAGCAGGCUCUCCGUGCAGUCUGCAGUCACAAAGGACAAGGCACAGAACAUGGGAGAAUCGAGUCCUGGAAGUAGCAAGCACCGCAGUUGGAAAGUAACGUUACAUGAUGGAGGCACUGCAAUAAACGCUGCCUUGUGCAGGAGGAGCCCGGAGCUGGAGCCUGAGGCUGGAUCCAUCCCACGCGGCUUUUCCCAUCCUACUUUAGUCACACUUUGCUGCUACAGCAACAGGCAGCGCUGCCAAGGAAGGUGACCCCGGCGUCAGCAUCGGGCUCGUGCAGGGAGUGCGCGCUCAGAAGUGAAUUCCAUGUGAUAAACGAGAGAGAGGCAGAAAGGUGCAAACCCAGGCAGCCCUGUGAGUCGAGGUGCCCACAUUAUGAACACUGGCACCUUAUUGGCCAAGCCUUCCUCUUCUGCCUGCUCCCCAUCCAGCGUUUUUCUUCAGUGUUUCAAUGGCAAGAGGGAAGAAGAAAUUAACUGAAGUGUACUCAUGUGAGUCAGCUCUGGCUGGAAAGCGGGACCCAGAGGAGAAAACACGAUGGUGUAGAGCUAUCUUAGUACAACAAAAUUGUUAACAGCAAAAUAAUCGCUAUUUGCUUAGCUGCAAGUAACUGGGGAGCACUGUGGCUGCUCUCAUUAAUACCCUAUUAACACAACUGGCUGUUGCGCUGCGUGGCAGUGGUGUUAAAGCCAUGGGGGAAUGCAGGCGGGUGAUGAUGAGGGGUGAGGAAGAGCCCAGUUCUGCCCCACCACACCCUCACCCAUGUGUCACUGCCAUCCAUGUGUGAUGCACAUCAGACCUGCCUGGAAGUGGCCAAAUUCCACCUUCAUCCUUUCUCAGCUGAAUAAAAAACAAAACUGUCUGAAAUGUGAUUGAGAGGAAAGCU